UACGAAGGGGGCUAGCGUUGUUCGGAGUUACUGGGCGUAAAGAGCUCGUAGGCGGCUUGGUAAGUCGGAUGUGAAACCUCCAGGCUCAACCUGGAGUCGCCAUCCGAUACUGCCAUGGCUAGAGUCCGGUAGGGGCCCACGGAAUUCCUGGUGUAGCGGUGAAAUGCGCAGAUAUCAGGAGGAACACCGAUGGCGAAGGCAGGUCUCUGGGCAUUAACUGACGCUGAGGAGCGAAAGCAUGGGGAGCGAACAGG
rnacentral:rRNA from 1 species